rnacentral:rRNA from 1 species
CCCUUAGAUGUUCUGGGCUGCACGCGCGCUACACUGAAGCGUUCAACGAGUAUUUCACCUUGCCCGGGAGGGUUGGGUAAUCUUUUUAAAACGCUUCGUGAUGGGGAUAGAUUAUUGCAAUUAUUAAUCUUGAACGAGGAAUUCCUAGUAAACGCAGAUCAUCAAUCUGCAUUGAUUACGUCCCUGCCCUUUGUACACACCGCCCGUCGCACCUACCGAUUGGAUGGUCCGGUGAAGCCUCGGGAUUGUGGUUCUUGCCGCUUUAUUGUGGCGUGACCGCGAGAACUUGUCUAAACCUUAUCAUCUAGAGGAAGGUGAAGUCGUAACA